rnacentral:rRNA from 1 species
CCUGCAACGAGCGCAACCCCUGUCACUAGUUGCCAUCAUUAAGUUGGGGACUCUAGUGAGACUGCCUACGCAAGUAGAGAGGAAGGUGGGGAUGACGUCAAAUCAUCACGGCCCUUACGCCUUGGGCCACACACGUAAUACAAUGGCCAGUACAGAGGGCAGCUACACGGUGACGUGAUGCAAAUCUCGAAAGCUGGUCUCAGUUCGGAUUGGAGUCUGCAACUCGACUCUAUGAAGCUGGAAUCGCUAGUAAUCGCGCAUCAGCCAUGGCGCGGUGAAUACGUU